rnacentral:rRNA from 1 species
GGACUACUGGGGUAUCUAAUCCUUAUCGCUCCCCACGCUUUCGUCCUAGCAGUGUCAAGUGGCACCCAGAAGCCUGCCUACGCUAUUGGUGUUCCAAACGAUAUCAACGCAUUUCACUACUACACCGUUUGUUCCAGCUUCCUCUUUGCCCUUCUAGUUUUACAGUUUCAAAAGACAUUCUCCCAGUUAAGCUGAGAGAUUUCACUUCUGACUUGUAAAACCACCUAUCGGUACGCUUUACGCCCAAUGAUUCCGGAUAACGCUUGAGGUCUCUGUAUUACCGCGGCUGCUGGCAC